rnacentral:rRNA from 1 species
AAUGAAAGCUGGCGGCGUGGAUUAGGCAUGCAAGUCCAGGGGGAAAAUUCCCUUCGGGGGAUGAGUACACCGGCGAACUGGUUAGUAACAGGUGGGGAACGUGCCCCGAGGCCGGGGAUAACCGUCUGGAAACAGCGGCUAAGACCCGAUUCGGCCCGGCAGUCUUCGGAUAGCCGGCGCCAAAGGCGCUCCUUCGGGAGUGCCGCCGCGGGAUCGCCCCGCCCCGAUUAGCUAGAUGGCGAGGUAACGGCUCACCAUGGCUGCGAUCGGUAGCUGGUCUGAGAGGAUGGUCAGCAACACUGGGACUGAGAUACGGCCCAGACUCCUACGGGAGGCAGCAGUCUAGAAGCUUCCGCAAUGGGCGAAAGCCUGACGGAGCGACGCCGCGUGCGCGAAGAAGGCC